AGGAGGAACAGCCCCAGUGGUGGGGCCAGCUCUGGAGCCCUGGAGUCAGCUCCUGCAGUAACCCCAGAGCUCUCCGUCUGCAGGGCCUGGAGGCUCCGGGGCGGG
rnacentral:pre_miRNA from 1 species